ensembl:lincRNA
AACUUGUAAAUGAAGGAGUUCAAUGUUGUAUUCACGAAGUGGCCAGGAGCUGGGGCAGGCUUGGGGCAGUUGAUCCCAGCCACAGGGCUGUCCCCGGGGAAGACAGCCCUGAACACUGUGGAAUCUUCACUCUCUUGACAUGAGCUAGAAGAGCACAGAGCUGGGCAGAGAAAGAAAGGUCCAUCUGGAGGCGAAGCUGAAGAUGUCCACAGGGAACUUGUUGGGAAGAUGGGACAGGCUGAGUGGAUCAUUGAACAAGCACAAACCAUGGAUUGAGACUUCGUAUCAUGGAGUCAUAACAGAGAACAAUGACACAGUCAUUUUGGACCCACCAUUGGUCGCCCUGGAUAAAGAUGCACCAGUUCCUUUCGCAGAAUCCUGCAGCUGGAGAUAAGGAAGCUUAAAGACAUGAUGAAAACAAACAAAGAGCUCGUAGUUUGUCUUCCUGCACAGCAAAUACAACCCCCACCUGACUCACAAGCACUCUCCCUUUUCUCCGAAUGUGAAGAGUCCCCAGCCUUAGUCUCAGCCAAGGCAGCUGUCUCCACUAGGGAAUGAUUGUUCAUUGCCAUUUACAGCAGACUGCAGAGAGGAGAAACCUUGAUGGAAAUAGACUGGCAUCAUAUAGUCAGGUCUCAUAAAAUCAUAGCAAUCGCCUGCCUACUAUGUGCUUGGUACUUUACUG